ACGGAAAAUGGCACCGCCCGUCCACCACCUUCGAGAAACUGGGAAAUCAUAUCUGCUGCCGACUGGUAUGCCUGGUCGGCUAGACCUACUCAUACGGGUGAAAAUGGGGCCACUCUUCCUAACGAACAAUUUCACUAUAAUAAUGUCAUCUCCGUCUCUGCAAAUUUAGUUUCAUUUUGCUGGAAAAUGGACUGGAAAUUCAGUUCCCGUCAUACAGUAGAGAGCAUGUUUAUCAGCAAUUUGAUCUCUCGUGAUGAAACCCAAGAAAUUCAAAAGAAAUGGACCGAUACUAUGAAUUCUCUUAAUCAGAAAAUCCAAGCCAUCAUCAGAAUUCCAUCUAUCAGAUUAAGGUUAUUUCGUAUUGGGAAGCAGCUGGAAUGGGAGAAGAUGGUCAUGGAUGGUUCAAUUCAAAACACUAGACGCCUCCACCUGGUGAGCACAACGCAUCUACGGCCUUGGCAGAUUGUUGAUGAAAUGAUUUCAGUGAUUUAUCGCUACUUUUACAGGAAAUACGUGCCUUCACCGUAUACCCAGAUCGAGAAUUGCAUGAAUGAGUUCUUCUCAAUGAUCCCAAAAGAGAACAAAUGUUAUUUAGAGGUAAUUCGGCUGUCCUUUCUUCCAGAACUGUUGGUCUCGCUUUAUUUGUCCCCAUAUCAAGUGGACAAAGUCUUUGCUUUCGGAAUGAUUAUGCAUAUUCUGAAGUUGAGUAGAAUAGCAUUGGCGAAAGAUUGGCGUAACGAAUGUGCAUGUUUGGUGUUAGAGUUUUGUAAGUUGCUCAGAAGGGUGUCUCAUGAGGAUUCCCUGUAUCUCUCUUGCCGGAGUGCUCUUGGGUUGUUGCUGAAAAACAUGGAUAUUGCUAGUUGGUUGUUGUAUGGGGAGGAUACCAAGGGAGCCAGCUGUUUGAUGAAGGAGAUUUUCUCUUUUGUUGGUGAGCUGGGGAAUAGAUUGUGUGAAGAUUUGGCUUCCAGUACAGAAUCUCCCUGGAGUUCGGGGCCCUUUUUUGGUGAUGUUUGUGACUUUAAGGCUUUUUUGCUCCCUUUGUUUAUUGUCAUUAAGAGAGGUCCUAGUUCUGAUCCCAUUCUCAACAGGGAUUAUGUGGACGCCUUUGGGUUUCUUUAUGCUACAUUUAGUAAAUUGCUGAGAAAGAUGGAUGAAUGCCUUCUUAAGAUGCAGAGCUGUUUUCCUUUAAACACAACAUGGGAAGAUGUUACAGUCUGGAAUGGAUGGUUUCAGCAUCUCGCCAUUUUGGAAGAAUUGCACAAAAUCAGUGAACUUUAUGACGUCGCUGAAGAAGAAUUGUGGAUGUCUUUACGGCAGAGAGAGUUUUCACUAUGUGUGCUGCUUGUUAAAUAUUUGAAGCCAACAGAUGAUAUUAAGUGGCUUCUAGAGCAUAAGAAUGAUUAUGGCUUUGAAUUUAGGAGGCAAUUGGCCAGGCAGAUGAUUCCCAAGGCAAAUGAAGAUUUCCAAAGAUCGCUCAAGAUAGUAAUUGACAAGUUCCUCAACAUGGGAGCUCAUGUUGAAGGCCAUCAGGUGCUGCCUAAUGAUUUGUUUUCACAACUCAGGGUACAAGAAGAGAGUGCAGCAGGACUGAUGAGUUACAGCACACGUUAUUUGACGGAGAAGUGGUUUCUCUCAAUGUGCCAGGCUAUUUUCAAUCCACAAAAUGCCCUUUUUAUUGCAUGUCCAAAUGAUCCUGCACGACUCUAUCCUAAUCCUGCAAUUAAGCUGGAGAACUUGCACCUUGAGUAUUUCCGGUUAGCUGGUAAGCUGAUAGCAUUAGCUUUGAUUCAUCAAGUGCGAGUAGGUGUUGUCUUUGAUCAUGUUUUUUUCUUACAAUUGGCUGGAAAGAGUAUUUCAUUAGAAGAUAUACGGGAUGCAGAUCCAUGCUUGUAUAGUAACUGCAAGCAGAUAAUGGAGAUGGUUUCCAAACCCAUUGUUUCUGAUGCUUUAGAACUGAGGUUUAUUGGGGGUGCAGAGUACAAAAGGAGCGCAGAACUUUGCCCUGAUGGAAAGAGCAUAGUUGUGAAUGGCAAAAAUUGGAAAAUAUUUGCUGAUCUUAUCAUUCAACAUCACUUUGUUACAUCUAUCUCUAAACAGGUUUCUUAUUUUGCUCAAGGUCUUGCUGAUGUUUUUGGUAACAAAUGCCUCCAGAAAUUCUUUUUCCAUUGUUUAGAUCUUGAAGAUCUUGAUUGGAUGAUGCAAGGAAUCGAAAGCAGUGUUUCUCCUCAUGAUUUGAAGGCAAAUGCAGCAAGUUAUAGAUAUUAUAGUGACAGAAGGAGACAUGUUAUUACAAAUUGGGAAAAGGGUAGGCUUUUGGGACGCGGGUCAUUUGGAUCAGUGUAUGAAGGAUAUGCAGCCGGGGGUUUCUUUUUUGCUGUGAAGGAAGUUCAAUUGCAUGAUCAAGGAAAUCAAGAAAAUCAAGCAAAGCAAUGUAUUUACCAAAUAGAGCAGGAGAUUGCUUUAUUAAGCCAAUUCAAUCAUCCAAACAUUGUUCAAUAUUAUGGAACAGACAAGGAUGAAACAAAGCUUUAUAUUUUUCUAGAGCUUGUAAGUAGUGGCUCUCUUGCAGAAAUUUACAGUAGGUAUCAUCUUAAGGACUCCCAAGU
rnacentral:misc_RNA from 1 species